CUUUUUUAUAUUUAAUAUUAUACUCUUUCUAAUCCUUUCUGUUCUUAAAUUGUGAUAUUUGUAUUUGUCAUACAGUAUCUCUCUCCUAUUUUAUAUGCUCUUUUUACAUUUAAUAUCAUACAUGUAAAUGGCAGUAUAUCGUUGUUUUUCAUUAGUGAAUUCAAAGUAGUUUUUAUACCAGUUAACUUUUAACUUUAUAACACUUAGCAAUACCUGUAAUUAGGUCAUGCAAAUAAAGCUUUAUUUUAAAAAAAUGCUUAACUUUUCGGCCAAAUUUUUGCCAUGUUUUGAAUUUUUCAAAAAGUGACGACUACAAAUGGUGAAAAAGUAAAGGGGUUGUUAGCCUUAACUUUUUUUCAAAGAAAUAUUAAGGGGUUAGCCUUUACGUUUUGGCCAUUUUUUUCUCAAAGUCUAUAAUGUUUCAAACCAUAACAUCCAGAAUAUUGUGCUUUGAGAUGAUUGUUUUACAAUCUAGUGUAUUAACACUUAACAAUACAACAAUGAUCAGGUAGAGGGUUGUUCAAAAAACCACGAUUAGCGCUAACCCUGUGUUAAAAUUUAACCCAUGGUUUUGGUUUAU